rnacentral:rRNA from 1 species
CCUACGGGGGGCAGCAGUGAGGAAUAUUGGUCAAUGGACGAGAGUCUGAACCAGCCAAGUAGCGUGAAGGAUGACUGCCCUAUGGGUUGUAAACUUCUUUUAUAUGGGAAUAAAAUGUUCCACGUGUGGGAUUUUGUAUGUACCAUAUGAAUAAGGAUCGGCUAACUCCGUGCCAGCAGCCGCGGUAAUACGGAGGAUCCGAGCGUUAUCCGGAUUUAUUGGGUUUAAAGGGAGCGUAGGUGGAUUGUUAAGUCAGUUGUGAAAGUUUGCGGCUCAACCGUAAAAUUGCAGUUGAAACUGGCAGUCUUGAGUACAGUAGAGGUGGGCGGAAUUCGUGGUGUAGCGGUGAAAUGCUUAGAUAUCGCGAAGAACUCCGAUUGCGAAGGCAGUUCACUGGACUGCAACUGACACUGAGGCUCGAAAGUGUGGGUAUCAAACAGGAUUAGAUACCCCUGUAGUC